rnacentral:rRNA from 1 species
GGAUAAUAUAAGGAACCUCCUGGUUCUUUAUUGAAAAAUGGUUUCGGCUAUCACUCACAGAUGGGCCCGCGGCGCAUUAGCUAGUUGGUGAGGUAACGGCUCACCAAGGCGACGAUGCGUAGCCGACCUGAGAGGGUGAUCGGCCACACUGGGACUGAGACACGGCCCAGACUCCUACGGGAGGCAGCAGUAGGGAAUCUUCCACAAUGGACGAAAGUCUGAUGGAGCAACGCCGCGUGAGCGAUGAAGGCCUUCGGGUCGUAAAGCUCUGUUGUUAGGGAAGAACAAGUGCGAGAGUAACUGCUCGCACCUUGACGGUACCUAACCAGAAAGCCACGGCUAACUACGUGCCAGCAGCCGCGGUAAUACGUAGGUGGCAAGCGUUGUCCGGAAUUAUUGGGCGUAAAGCGCGCGCAGGUGGUCCUUUAAGUCUGAUGUGAAAGCCCACGGCUCAACCGUGGAGGGUCAUUGGAAACUGGGGGACUUGAGUGCAGAAGAGGAAAGUGGAAUUCCAAGUGUA